ensembl:lncRNA
GGGGGUUGAAACUAGAUGAUCAUCAUGGUCCUUGUCAACCCAGGACAUUCUGUGAUUCAGUGUUUCUAUGAUUCUGUGAUCCAAGGUUACCAUCUGAUGAGGGCUAAAUUCUGCUAAAGAAAGAUGAGUACAAGGCUGGAAUCACUAGAGACAUAAAAAGGCAACCACUCUGGGCUCUUUCUAGGAGAAUUCUGCUUUGCAACUCACAAUCAAGGUAAUUAAUGCAUUGAUCAGUUUGAGAAGGGGAGAGGGAUCUGCCUGUUGCCCAGGGUCUGGGUACUGCCAGCUGAUAUACUUGCAAACAGGCAUAUUCCAUCCACUUAAGAGUCUCAUUAGUGCUGUAAAAGGGAAUAGAGCAGUUCGUAGGUGCACCAAAACCAAGAUGGAUGAAAAAAAAUAGACCACGUGGACACUUCCAUCAGAAGGUGUGGGAUUAGCUCCCUCCUGGGAUGUGAUAGCCAUCACAAAGCUCAUCACUUUUUUGCAAUUCAUUAGUACUAGCUUCAGCACGUCUGACAUGAUUGUCUCACUCAGAUUUACAGCAACACUUGAAAACAUCUACAGUUUUAAAAACCAGGCAACCCUGAGCCCAUACUUUCCUCAAGAAGAGAAUAAUUCAUGCAUAAUAGAUGUUAAAUCACGUUGCUUGACUGACUUUAAAGUCAACUGCUAAAGAAGUAUUAAUAGAAGACUUGAGAAAGGAAGAUAGCUCUAGAGAAAGCAAGCGUACAGUGUCGUACAGCGUACUAGUGUCGGCUCAGGUCAGUCUGUAUUUUUGACUCCCCAUCCAUCACUCAGUCAGUCUCAAAGCAUGGUGGGGUUCGAGGGAAGGGGUUGGAAAAGCCAUGAAUUCCAGAACUUGGAAAAGAAAGCGGGUGAGAGCUAAGAAAACAGUGGAAAUGAAAGGGAUGAAAUUCAACACUCUAGAUUGUGUUAGAUUUUAAAAAGCACUGUGUUAACAGGAAUUAGCAUGAAUCUGGAAAGUGCUGCAGUAGAUUAUUUCAGUUUUUCACAGUGCUUUGAACUUGAACGGACAAGGUAACUGGGAGGUAUCAGUAUUAUUAGCACGCUAUAUGGAAUUCCUGGCAAGCAAAGCAGGCAAAACUUUUUCUUUUUCUUGAGGUGCUAGUGAUGCCAAUUAGCUAAUACUUGCAGGAGACCUGACAGAUUGCUGUCUGCUAUUGUUUUGAGGGGUGGUUUGUGAGAUCUUCUGAAAGAACCUUGUUAUAAACCUCAGGAGCAGAAAUUUGAAAAUAAUCUAUUUACAUAAAGAAUUACUUUACAUGCAACAUUAGAACUGUUAAAUUUGACACGUUUUUACUUAAACUACAGUUUUGUUGCUCUGCCAGUGAUAAAGACGAGCAUACCAGAUGGUAUGUAGGCCUUCUGAGAUAAUUACGAGGGUUUGUGAAGCAAUGAUAUAUAACAAUUUCCCAAACACCAAGAGUUGAAAACAAAAGUAACAGAUUAAAAUUGCUCUUUUCAAAAUUGAUGCUUAUUCAAGCAUUGUCUUGAGUAGAAGUAAAAUCAAUUGUAACCGUUUGAUAUUAGAAGUAUGUCCAGAUGGAAGAAGCCUUAUUUUGCGUGCCAUUUUUCAGAUCGUCAAGUUAUUAGUAAAAUUGUUGUUCAUUAGUAAACAGUGGCUCAGACAAAAUGCAUCUAUGGCCAUUUGUUCUGUUUUAACUACUGUUCUUUUACUGUUAAUUGAUGCCCUUUCUAUGCUCUGUCACAACUAGGAAUAUUGGUAGAUGUCCUAUUUUGUGUUAAGAAAAAGUGAUGGUCUACCUUGACUACAGUGUUAGAACAUGCCAGAGUUACAUCAAAGUGGUAUGAAAUCAACAGAGUCUGUGACACAGAUUCCCAUAGCACACCUGUUGGGGCUUGUCCCCAGAUAUUAUGUAGGAUUGGUGGUAGGUGUUUCAGCUUUGUUAUAAAUUGUGAGCAGCUUGACAAGCUGUUGAGUGGAGAUGAGUUUGCACUCGAUAAUAAAUUAUAUAUAUAC